rnacentral:lncRNA from 1 species
GCCCCCCGCUCAGCGAUUGGCCGAAAAAUUGGGGCUGGGACGGGAACCGGGAGCCCGGGAUGCGCUGGGCAGGUGAGACAGGUGAGACAGGUGAGAUGGGACAGGUGAGAUGGGACAGGUGAGAUGGACAGGUGAGAUGGACAGGUGAGAUGGGACAGGUGAGACAUGGACAGGUGAGACAUGGACAGGUGAGACAGGUGAGAUGGACAGGUGAGACAUGGACAGGUGAGACAUGGACAGGUGAGAUGGGACAGGUGAGACAUGGACAGGUGAGACAUGGACAGGUGAGAUGGACAGGUGAGAUGGGACAGGUGAGAUGGACAGGUGAGAUGGGACAGGUGAGAUGGACAGGUGAGACAGGUGGGACAGGUGAGGUUGGACAGGUGGGAGAGGUGGGACAGGUGACACAGGUGAGAUAUGAACAGGUGAGGUGGGUG